rnacentral:rRNA from 1 species
UACGAAGGGGGCUAGCGUUGUUCGGAUUUACUGGGCGUAAAGCGCACGUAGGCGGAUUGUUAAGUCAGGGGUGAAAUCCCGGAGCUCAACUCCGGAACUGCCUUUGAUACUGGCAAUCUUGAGGCUGGAAGAGGUUAGUGGAAUUCCCAGUGUAGAGGUGAAAUUCGUAGAUAUUGGGAAGAACACCAGUGGCGAAGGCGGCUAACUGGUCCAGAUCUGACGCUGAGGUGCGAAAGCGUGGGGAGCAAACAGG